CAGAUGCCCGGGUGCUGUAUCCCUGAUGACUGUCUUUGAAGUCAGGUAUCCUUCAAAAUAUGAGGUCCCUUCCAGAACCCAGAAGGACUAUCCACAAACACUGAGGAGCAGGAACAGAAGAUGCCUUGCGCUAACCAGCACUGCCCUGGGUGGUGCCUCAUUUGACCAUCAAAAUCCUAGCCAUGAAACCACCCUCCACCGCAGCCUCAGAGCAUCUCCAUCCUGCCCGGAGAUCCCCCCGGCCCCUCUGCC